rnacentral:rRNA from 1 species
AAAAUAAAAAUUAAUAAUGGGGGUUAUUAAUAAAAAAAAUUUUAUUGUGUUGAGUUUUAAGUAGGGUUAUUUGAAAAAAUUUAAUAUUUUAUAGUUAAUUAGUAUUGUAAAAGAAUUUUGAAAAUAUAUGAAAAUAAAUUUAUUAAAAAGUAAUUUUAAUUUAAUGUAUCUUGUGUAUCAGAGUUUAUUAAUAAAAUAAUUAUUUUUAAUUUUUUUCGAAUUUAAAAGAGAUAAUUAUUUAUUAAAGUUAUUGUUGCAUAAAUAUUUUAAAUAAUUAAUUUGAAAUGAGAUGUUAAUCGUUUUUAAAUAUAUCUAAUUUUUUUAGAAAAAAAUUUAAUUUUAAAUUAAUUUAAUAAUUGAUUUAUUUUUUUUUAUAAUUUUAUUAUUAAAUUAAUUUUAUAUUUUAAGGGAUAAGCUUUAAAUUAAAUUUUUAUAAUUUUUUAAUUUUUAAUUAAAAUUUUUAUUAUUUAUAUUGUAAGUAAAUUUUAUUUUAUUAUAAAUAAUUUUAUAUUUAUUUAAAAUUUAAUUUAAAUUUAAUUUUUUAUAAAAAAAAUUUUUUAAUUAAAUAAAAUAUGAUAUAAUGAUAAAAUUAGUAUAUAAAUUUAAUUUAAUAAAAUAUUAUUUAUAUUUAUUAAUUUUAAGGAAUUCGGCAAAAUUUUAUGUCCACUUGUUUAUCAAAAACAUGUCUUUUUGAUUUUAAUUUAAAGUUUAAUCUGCCCACUGAUGAAAAUUAAAGGGCUGCAGUAUUUUGACUGUACAAAGGUAGCAUAAUCAUUAGUCUUUUAAAUGGUGACUUGUAUGAAUGAUUGGAUGAGAUAUAAGCUGUCUUAAAUUUAUUUGAUAGAAUUUAAUUUUUUAAUUAAAAAGUUAAAAUACAUUAAAAAGACGAGAAGACCCUAUAGAGUUUUAUAAGUAAAAUUAAAUUAAGAAUAUUUAUAAAUUAAAAUUAUUUAAAAUUUGUUUAUUUAUUUGAUUGGGGUGAUUAAAAAAUUUAAUUAACUUUUUUUAAUUUUUAACAUAGAUAAAUGAUUUAAUGGAUCCAAUUUUAUUGAUUGAAAGAAAAAAUUACCUUAGGGAUAACAGCGUAAUUUUUUUUUUUAGUUCGUAUAAAAAAAAGAGUUUGCGACCUCGAUGUUGGAUUAAGAUGAAAUUUAAAUGUAAAAGUUUGAGUGUUUUGAUCUGUUCGAUCAUUAAAAUCUUACAUGAUCUGAGUUCAAACCGGUGUAAGCCAGGUUGGUUUCUAUCUUUUAGGAAAAAUAAUAUUUUAGUACGAAAGGAUCGAGUAUUAAAAUUAAAUUUAAUAUUUAAAGAAUAUUAUUAAAAUUUAUUUAAAAUUAAUAAAAUUAUAAAAUUUGUUUAGUUUAAUUUAAUAAUAAAUGAUAAUGGGAUUUUUAUUGUUAAUAAUAGAAAUUUAUUUAAGUAAUUUUAAUUUAUAGUAUAUUUAAUUUAUAU